CCGACUAAGCCAUGCGAGUCAUGGGGCGCGCUCUGCGCGCACCGGCGGACGGCUCAGUAACACGUCGGUAACCUACCCUCGGGAGGGGGAUAACCCCGGGAAACUGGGGCUAAUCCCCCAUAGGCCUGAGGUACUGGAAGGUCCUCAGGCCGAAAGGGUCUCUGACCGCCCGAGGAUGGGCCGGCGGCCGAUUAGGUAGUUGGUGGGGUAACGGCCCACCAAGCCGAAGAUCGGUACGGGCCAUGAGAGUGGGAGCCCGGAGAUGGACACUGAGACACGGGUCCAGGCCCUACGGGGCGCAGCAGGCGCGAAACCUCCGCAAUGCGGGCAACCGCGACGGGGGGACCCCCAGUGCCGUGGCAUCGCCACGGCUUUUCCGGAGUGUAAAAAGCUCCGGGAAUAAGGGCUGGGCAAGGCCGGUGGCAGCCGCCGCGGUAAUACCGGCGGCCCGAGUGGUGGCCGCUAUUAUUGGGCCUAAAGCGUCCGUAGCCGGGCCCGUAAGUCCCUGGCGAAAUCCCACGGCUCAACCGUGGGGCUUGCUGGGGAUACUGCGGGCCUUGGGACCGGGAGAGGCGGAGGGUACUCCUGGGGUAGGGGUGAAAUCCUAUAAUCCCAGGAGGACCGCCAGUGGCGAAGGCGCUCCGCUGGAACGGGUCCGACGGUGAGGGACGAAGGCCAGGGGAGCGAACCGGAUUAGAUACCCGGG
rnacentral:rRNA from 1 species